CAUUAGUGCAGUCUGCUGCAGGAUGCUUUGGAAAAAUUGAAGUUUCCAGCAUGACUGAAAGUGCUCCCUUCAGAUAUUUAAUGUACAAAUGAUUUUUCUUUUGCAAUCUCCCUUGCUCCAGUCUCUCCCAUGUUCCACUUGGAAAGCAAACCCAUCAGCAUUUAUUUUAUGUGAGCUCCACUUCAGAAUGAGGCUGUGCAAGGUGCUGUUCAACCUGGUGAAUUCUUGAAGGCAAGGCUCAAUCCUCUUUCCAUGCUGCAUAAGAAGCGGAUGUAGCAUCAGUUACAGCUCUAUCUGAAUAUCCUCACAUUUUUGUGGAGGAGCCAAAGAAUAUACAGUUUAUAGAAAUCUCCAGAACUGCUUCAGGUGAGAUGACAGAUACAGCUACAACUUCCUACCCGAGCUCCCCCUCUGCCUGACAGCCAAACCAAGCAACACAAAAUGGGAAACAAAUCAAAACAAAACAAAGCAACAGAUGGAUUCCCAGCUGCACUUUGUAUUCAGGAAGGUAGAAUGUCAAGAAAUGCUGGCCAGUCUGUGCUGAAACUCCCACAGCAUUAAAGGGAAACUCAAUUUCACUGCGUCAAGUGCAACCGAGGCUUUCAUUCUGUAACGGAAAUACUUAUUGUAACUGCAAAAAAAAAUCUAAAAAAAUGUAUUUCUUUGAAAUGGCUUCACACUAACAAGUUUAUAUUAGAUAUUGGGAAAAAAUUUCUCCCUGUGAGAGUGGUGAGGCCCUAGCACAGGUGCCCAGAGGAGCUGUGGCUGCCCCUGGAUCCCUGGGAGUGUCCAAGGCCAGGUUGGACAGGGCUUGGAGCAGCCUGGGACAGUGGAAGGUUCUUUAAUCCCUUCCACCUCAGGCCGUUUUGUGAUCCUGUGAUACUGGAAUACAAACAUAAUUUUUAGGGAACUGGGUUAAAUUUUCUUACACAAAUAUUUAUCCAGAGAUGGAAUCCAAAGCUCCUCUCUCCCUGCUGCGUGGUUCUUUGCCUGUAGCAAUUUUUGGGGUUUUUUUUUAAGGCCUGAAUGUGGAAUCUACAAACAUCAGAGUUUAUGUUGCACUCAGGGCAGGGUUACUCAAUUCAGGACACUUUGGUGCAUAAAAAGAAACACUGCUUCCUAAUUUUAGCAUGGAAUUCUGGUGUAGGUGGGAAUAUCUUGGUUGACUUCAUCAGGUUUUGGAACAAACUGUUGGGAAAAGUAUGGGAUGGCAGUGAGGAAUAA